rnacentral:tRNA from 1 species
AGAGUUAUAGUUUAUUUAAAACAUUUAGCCUGCAACUAAAAAAUACUUAUAGUUAACCCUU